rnacentral:rRNA from 1 species
CCUACGGGGGGCAGCAGUGGGGAAUAUUGGACAAUGGGCGAAAGCCUGAUCCAGCCAUGCCGCGUGUGUGAAGAAGGCCUUCGGGUUGUAAAGCACUUUCAGUGGGGAAGAAAGCCUUGGGGCUAAUACCCUCGAGGAAGGACAUCACCCACAGAAGAAGCACCGGCUAACUCCGUGCCAGCAGCCGCGGUAAUACGGAGGGUGCGAGCGUUAAUCGGAAUUACUGGGCGUAAAGCGCGCGUAGGCGGUCUGAUAAGCCGGUUGUGAAAGCCCCGGGCUCAACCUGGGAACGGCAUCCGGAACUGUCAGGCUAGAGUGCAGGAGAGGAAGGUAGAAUUCCCGGUGUAGCGGUGAAAUGCGUAGAGAUCGGGAGGAACACCAGUGGCGAAGGCGGCCUUCUGGACUGACACUGACGCUGAGGUGCGAAAGCGUGGGUAGCAAACAGGAUUAGAUACCCCUGUAGUC